rnacentral:rRNA from 1 species
UGGGGAAUUGUUCACAAUGGGCGCAAGCCUGAUGACGCAACGCCGCGUGGGGGAUGAAGGUCUUCGGAUUGUAAACCCCUGUCGAAUGGGACGAAGGACUCGCGAGUUAAUACUUCGCGGGAGUGACGGUACCGUUAAAGGAAGCCACGGCUAACUCUGUGCCAGCAGCCGCGGUAAUACAGAGGUGGCAAGCGUUGUUCGGAAUUACUGGGCGUAAAGGGCGCGUAGGCGGCCUACUAAGUCAGACGUGAAAUCCCCCGGCUUAACCUGGGAACUGCGUCUGAUACUGGAAGGCUUGAGUAUGGGAGAGGGAUGUAGAAUUCCAGGUGUAGCGGUGAAAUGCGUAGAUAUCUGGAGGAAUACCGGUGGCGAAGGCGGCAUCCUGGACCAUUACUGACGCUGAGGCGCGAAAGCUAGGGGAGCAAACGGGAUUAGAUACCCCAGUAGUCCCUGAGCGGGCUGGCAAGGCG